rnacentral:rRNA from 1 species
UGAGUACGAGACGCUAAGGCGUCGAAGUAGUGUAUGUCAUACUUCCAAGAAAAGCUUGCACUGUCAUAAAUAAAAAUGCCUGUACCAUAACCGACACAGGUGGGUAAGUAGAGUAUACUAAGGGGCGCGAGAUAACUCUCUCUAAGGAACUCGGCAAAAUAACUCCGUAACUUCGGGAGAAGGAGUGCCUUAUUCUUAAGGUUGCAAUAACAAGAUCCAAGCAACUGUUUAUCAAAAACACAGGUCUCCGCUAAGUCGUAAGACGAUGUAUGGGGGCUGACGCCUGCCCAGUGCCAGAAGGUUAAAGAAGUCGGUUAGCAAUUGCGAAGCUGGUAACUGAAGCCCUGGUGAACGGCGGCCGUAACUAUAACGGUCCUAAGGUAGCGAAAUUCCUUGUCGGGUAAGUUCCGACCCGCACGAAAGGCGUAAUGAUUUGGAUGCUGUCUCGGAGAGGGGCUCGGUGAAAUAGACUUGUCUGUGAAGAUGCGGACUACCUGCACCAGGACAGAAAGACCCUAUGAAGCUUUACUGUAACUUGAAAUUGAAAUUGGACUUUAUUCGCGCAGUAUAGGUGGGAGGUGUUGAUUGUAAUCUUGCGGGAUUAUUGGAGCCAUCAGUGAGAUACCACUCUUGUAAUGUUAGAUUUCUAACUUUGAAUCAUUAUCUGGUCAAAGGACAGUUUCAGGCGGGCAGUUUGACUGGGGCGGUCGCCUCCUAAACGGUAACGGAGGCGUACAAAGGUUUCCUCUGAACGGUUAGAAAUCGUAUCUAGAGUGUAAAGGCAUAAGGAAGCUUGACUGUGAGACCUACAAGUCGAGCAGGGACGAAAGUCGGUCUUAGUGAUCUGACGGUACUGAGUGGAAAGGCCGUCACUCAACGGAUAAAAGUUACUCUAGGAUAACAGGCUGAUCUCCCCCAAGAGUUCACAUCGACGGGGAGGUUUGGCACCUCGAUGUCGGCUCAUCGCAUCCUGGGGCGGUAGUACGUCCCAAGGGUUGGGCUGUUCGCCCAUGAAAGCGGUACGCGAGCUGGGUUCAGAACGUCGUGAGACAGUUCGGUCCAUAUCCGGUGUAGGCGCUAGAAUAUUGAGAGGAGCCUUCUUUAGUACGAGAGGACCGAGAAGGACAUACCUCUGGUGUACCAGUUAUCGUGCCAACGGUAAACGCUGGGUAGCUAUGUAUGGAGUGGAUAACCGCUGAAAGCAUCUAAGUGGGAAGCCCACCUCAAGAUAAGUAUUCC